rnacentral:rRNA from 1 species
AAUAGAUACCCUGGUAGUCCCAGCCGUAAACGAUGCUCGCUAGGUGUCAGGCAUGGCGCGACCGUGUCUGGUGCCGCAGGGAAGCCGUGAAGCGAGCCACCUGGGAAGUACGGCCGCAAGGCUGAAACUUAAAGGAAUUGGCGGGGGGAGCACAACAACGGGUGGAGCCUGCGGUUUAAUUGGACUCAACGCCGGACAACUCACCGGGGACGACAGCAAAAUGUAGGCCAGGCUGAAGACCUUGCCUGAAUCGCUGAGAGGAGGUGCAUGGCCGUCGCCAGUUCGUACUGUGAAGCAUCCUGUUAAGUCAGGCAACGAGCGAGACCCGUGCCCACUGUUACCAGCAUAUCCUCCGGGAUGAUGGGUACUCUGUGGGGACCGCCGAUGUUAAAUCGGAGGAAGGUGCGGGCUACGGUAGGUCAGUAUGCCCCGAAUUUCCCGGGCUACACGCGGGCUACAAUGGAUGGGACAAGUGGGUCCCUACCCGUGAAAACGGGCUGGUAAUCUCACAACCCGAUUCGUAGUUCGGAUCGAGGGCUGUAACUCG